UUUAUUAUAGUAACUAGGUUCUUCCUCUAACUAAUAAAUUAAUAAUAUUAUUGUUGGUCUUUCAUUUAAAAUAUUAAUAGAAGAAAUUAAUUAUAAAAAUAAUUUUAUAUCAUUAAAUGUACCUAAUUUGUAGUAUUUAACUGUAACACACUUAACUUAAUAUUUGGUGAUACUACACCUAAGGUCUGAAAUUAUUUAGUGGUGUUACUAAGUUAAAUAAAUUUCUUGAUAUUAUAUUUCUGUUACUAUUUUUUUGAAUUUAGUUUCUUUAUGAAUUUUUGAAAAUAAUUUGAAUUUGUUAUUUAUCUAUGAUGCAUGGAACGUAUUGGUUAUGACUGCACUACCUGCAAUUGUCAAUAUAUAAGGUAUUUAAAUGUUAGAACUAAGUCUAUCCUGUAUAAUAUUUUUGUUUUAUACACAAUUAUAUUAAAUUUAUUUUCAGCUUAUUCAUAUUACCUGAAUAUAUAUAUAUAUAUAUAUAUAUUAAUCAAAUUAAAUUAACUCAUUAAUGCAUCAAAAUGUUUCAUACCCAACUCAUCAAAAAAUGUAUGUUCCCAGUAUUAUUAAUCAAUAAUCAUAUUACAUUAUUUAUAUUAUUUUGUUAUUAUUCUAGUGGAUUAAGAAGUUAUUACACUCUAUUGUUAUAAAUAAAAUGUAUAUUUGCUGUUUUUCCAAAGUGUUUAUCUGAAUACCAGUGCAUGAGUUAUGAAAACAACAAUUACUUUGCAUUCCCAUGUCAUCGUUGCAAUAGAAUGUACAAGCACAGAGCUAGCUUGAAUAGUCAUCUAAAGCUUGAAUGCGGUGUAGCACCACAAUUCCAUUGCAUCGCGUGUGGUAGACAAUUCACUUGGAAGCAACAUCUGAAGCGUCAUAUGGUUGCCGUGCACAAGCUUUUGAAUAUAAAAUAAUAAAGCGUCUAAGAAAUAUAUAUGUAUAUUGGUAAUAUUACUACAGCUAGUUCAAAAUAAAAUUUUUUUUUUUCUACAA